ACGAACGCUGGCGGCAUGCCUAACACAUGCAAGUCGAACGAGACCUUCGGGUCUAGUGGCGCACGGGUGCGUAACGCGUGGGAACCUGCCCUUAGGUUCGGAAUAACUCCCCGAAAGGGGUGCUACUACCGGAUAAUGUCUUCGGACCAAAGAUUUAUCGCCUUUGGAUGGGCCCGCGUUGGAUUAGCUAGUUGGUAGGGUAAAAGCCUACCAAGGCGACGAUCCAUAGCUGGUCUGAGAGGAUGAUCAGCCACACUGGGACUGAGACACGGCCCAGACUCCUACGGGAAGCAGCAGUGGGGAAUAUUGGACAAUGGGCGAAAGCCUGAUCCAGCAAUGCCGCGUGAGUGAUGAAGGCCUUAGGGUUGUAAAGCUCUUUUACCCGGGAUGAUAAUGACAGUACCGGGAGAAUAAGCUCCGGCUAACUCCGUG
rnacentral:rRNA from 1 species